UACGUAGGUGGCAAGCGUUAUCCGGAAUUAUUGGGCGUAAAGCGCGCGCAGGUGGUUUCUUAAGUCUGAUGUGAAAGCCCACGGCUCAACCGUGGAGGGUCAUUGGAAACUGGGAGACUUGAGUGCAGAAGAGGAAAGUGGAAUUCCAUGUGUAGCGGUGAAAUGCGUAGAUAUAGGGAAGAACACCAAUCAGGCGAAGGCAGUUAACUAUUCUAUUCCUGACAUUGAGGCAUGAAAGCGUGGGGAGCAAAACGG
rnacentral:rRNA from 1 species